rnacentral:rRNA from 1 species
GACGAACGCUGGCGGCGUGCUUAACACAUGCAAGUCGAACGGUGAAGCGCCUUCCUUUUUGGUGGGUGUGGAUGAGUGGCGAACGGGUGAGUAACACGUGAGUAACCUGCCCCCUUCUUCUGGAUAACCGCAUGAAAGUGUGGCUAAUACGGGAUAUUCUGGGUCUGUCGCAUGGUGGGUCUGGGAAAGAUAUUGUUUCGGUGGGGGAUGGGCUCGCGGCCUAUCAGCUUGUUGGUGGGGUGAUGGCCUACCAAGGCGGUGACGGGUAGCCGGCCUGAGAGGGUGGACGGUCACACUGGGACUGAGACACGGCCCAGACUCCUACGGGAGGCAGCAGUGGGGAAUAUUGCACAAUGGGCGCAAGCCUGAUGCAGCGACGCCGCGUGAGGGGUGGAGGCCUUCGGGUUGUGAACCUCUUUCGCCAGUGAAGCAGGCCUGCCUCGUUUGUGGGUGGGUUGACGGUAGCUGGAUAAGAAGCGCCGGCUAACUACGUG